rnacentral:rRNA from 1 species
UACGAAGGGGGCUAGCGUUGUUCGGAAUUACUGGGCGUAAAGGGCGCGUAGGCGGUACUUCAAGUCAGGCGUGAAAGCCCCGGGCUCAGCCUGGGAACCGCGCUUGAGACUGGAGAACUAGAGUUCGGGAGAGGAUGGUGGAAUUCCCAGUGUAGAGGUGAAAUUCGUAGAUAUUGGGAAGAACACCGAUGGCGAAGGCAGCCAUCUGGACCGACACUGACGCUGAGGCGCGAAAGCGUGGGGAGCAAACAGG